rnacentral:rRNA from 1 species
GAUGAACGCUGGCGGCGUGCCUAAUACAUGCAAGUCGAGCGAACAGACGAGGAGCUUGCUCCUUUGACGUUAGCGGCGGACGGGUGAGUAACACCUAGGUAACCUACCUAUAAGACUGGGAUAACUUCGGGAAACCGGAGCUAAUACCGGAUAAUAUUUCGAACCGCAUGGUUCGAUAGUGAAAGAUGGCUUUGCUAUCACUUAUAGAUGGACCUGCGCCGUAUUAGCUAGUUGGUAAGGUAACGGCUUACCAAGGCAACGAUACGUAGCCGACCUGAGAGGGUGAUCGGCCACACUGGAACUGAGACACGGUCCAGACUCCUACGGGAGGCAGCAGUAGGGAAUCUUCCGCAAUGGGCGAAAGCCUGACGGAGCAACGCCGCGUGAGUGAUGAAGGUCUUCGGAUCGUAAAACUCUGUUAUUAGGGAAGAACAAACGUGUAAGUAACUGUGCACGUCUUGACGGUACCUAAUCAGAAAGCCACGGCUAACUACGUG